rnacentral:lncRNA from 1 species
CUCCAACUCUGGGCUUCCAUGUGAUCUUUGGUGGAACAUGGGCCUUGGAUUUCAACACAGACACCAGCUGUGGUAGGACCACAGAUUCUGACAUGGUCCUCUGUAGCAGUCAGAUCUGGAUGUCACCAUUGCCCCAGCUGUCAGUGCAGGCCCCUCAGAUCUGCACGGCCCUAGCAACAGGGUGGCCCUUAGACACUAGCAUGGCCCCAGACCUCAGGCAUCCGAAUGGCUUUUGAUGGUAACAGGAGCCUCAGACAUCAACACAGACCCUGGCUGCAGUAGGGCCACAGACCCAGACAUGGUCUUCAGCUGUAGCUGUGGCCCAGAUGUCAUUAUGUCAUCGGCGGCAGCUCAGGCCAAUCAGGUCUGUGUGGCCACAGCUGUAGCAUGGCCCUGGGACACCAACAUGAACUCAUGUAGCUGAUCUGACCCGGGGCAUCCACACUGCCCUCAAUGGCAACAGGAGCUACAGACAUCAACCCAGACCCUUUCUGCUAUAUACACAGACCCAGACAUGGCCCUUGGCAACAGCCCUGGCCUGGUGUCACCAUGGCUCCAGGUGGCAAGCAGGCCACCCACAUCAGACUACUCCUCAAUACCUUCAUUUUCUUGAUUGGGGUUCUCUUCUCAGAUGACUUUAGUUGUGUCAAGUUGACAUAAAAGUAACUAUCCAGCACAGUGGCCCUUGUAAAUCUCUUCUUCCCAGACUUCAGCAUCUCACUGGUUAAAGUAAAGUAAACCCAGAGGGUUGCUAAAGCUUUGGCCAGAUCCAAGUAAUCAACAGUGCCAUGCGUGUGACAGAGGAACAAGAUCUGGGACAGAUGAGGAUCUCAGAGCUCUCAGCCACGGUUGAGCAGAUCUCUGGGGAUGCUUCCAUAUCCGAUCCAUAGCGAAGUAAGGCUUGUUGCUCAGGGGCUCCAGAAUUCAGCCAAUCAAGCUUUGGCAAAUGGUUGGAGGUCAGAGCCAUGGAUCAUUGACACUUAUUUCAACCGCAACCCAGGAAGAAAUCAUUCCUCUGCCAGUUUCUACUCUACUGAAGCUCUUCUCAGCCAAUCAGGAUGUUCAGAAGGGGAACAAAGCAGUCUGGACAUCUUGAAUAACUCAAGUCCGAGUUGAGGCAAGUUCCCAGGGACUCAAAGUACAAAUACAAACCUCAAUGGUGAACAAAGUGGUCAAGGAAAAAGAAAUUUGGGAGAUCAUCGCUCAACAAAAGCAUCUGAAGUAAAAAAUUGACUUUUUAUAUUUUCCAUGUACUUCUGUGUUUGUGUACAUGUGUUCAUGUGUG